AACGAACGCUGGCGGCAGGCCUAACACAUGCAAGUCGAGCGCCCCGCAAGGGGAGCGGCGGACGGGUGAGUAACGCGUGGGAACGUACCCUUUGCUACGGAAUAGCCUCGGGAAACUGGGAGUAAUACCGUAUGUGCCCUUCGGGGGAAAGAUUUAUCGGCAAAGGAUCGGCCCGCGUUGGAUUAGGUAGUUGGUGGGGUAAUGGCCUACCAAGCCGACGAUCCAUAGCUGGUUUGAGAGGAUGAUCAGCCACACUGGGACUGAGACACGGCCCAGACCCCUACGGGAGGCAGCAGUGGGGAAUCUUAGACAAUGGGCGCAAGCCUGAUCUAGCCAUGCCGCGUGAGCGAUGAAGGCCUUAGGGUUGUAAAGCUCUUUCAGUGGGGAAGAUAAUGACUGUACCCACAGAAGAAGCCCCGGCUAACUCCGUG
rnacentral:rRNA from 1 species